UACGGAAGGGGGCUAGCGUUGCUCGGAAUCACUGGGCGUAAAGCGCACGUAGGCGGAUUGUUAAGUCAGGGGUGAAAUCCUGGAGCUCAACUCCAGAACUGCCUUUGAUACUGGCGAUCUUGAGUCCGGGAGAGGUGAGUGGAACUCCGAGUGUAGAGGUGAAAUUCGUAGAUAUUCGGAAGAACACCAGUGGCGAAGGCGGCUCACUGGCCCGGUACUGACGCUGAGGUGCGAAAGCGUGGGGAGCAACA
rnacentral:rRNA from 1 species